GGUAGACUCAGUCACAAACUUGUCUUACCAGAUAAAGUGUUGCAGAUUAAACUAUUUUACCCCCCUGGGAGCAGGUCUCUGUGGCCGUAGGAGUGUAUAGGAAAACCAUCAGCCGAUGUGUCAAGUGGAAGGGAAAACUGAAGUCGAAGGAUUCGUGGCUUUUCACAUACAAAGGCAUCCUCCCAUCCCUCCUGGCCAGCCAGCGAAGGAUGGACAAGUGCACCUGGAGGCUACUGCCCAGGUGCAAGGGGUGGGUGUGGGGCAAGCUGCAGAAUGCCCCAGAACAAAGACACCUCCAGGGGCCUCCUCGGAGGUCACCCGCUGCCUCCAGGGCAGAUUAAGGAGGACUGGAGAUGGCGCUUGGAGGAAAUGGUGCUGUUCUUUGGGAAAUCAAUUCGUCCCACCCUUAAUAGGGUGUUUUGCCCUCCCUCUUUGGGAGUUCCAGGCAAUGGGCUUCCAGGUCUCUACGGUUCUGAAAGAGGCGGCCCCUUUGCCAGCCCAUGUUCCUUCAAACAGCCCAGGCCCCACAAGAAUCUCUUCUGCUCUCUGCCACGUUUCCUUUCCCUUUUCUCCCUCUUUCAGGCUCUCCCGCCCCUCUCUAUACCCAAGCUCCUUUCAUAAUGAGGCUGGAAGUGGAACUUUCCCCCACUCCCUUACUUUGAGAUUUCUUUUUUCCCAGUGACCUGGGCUGCACUUUACCCCCACUCCCUGCCUGCCAAUCUCCUCAGGGUUAGGGCCUUUCUCUAUCCAUUCUUUCAGGUUCCCCCUCCUUGAGAGCUCCAGGAGGCCAGGCCUUCCAGAAUCUGAUCUCCUUCCAACACUGCAGCCCCCCUGAGGAGGAAGGAAGAAGCCUCCUCCGAAUGAAUGGCCGUAUUCUCAGGACUCCAAAAUGAGGCCUCCUUUUUCUAACUGCGGGCUGAAGUGGUUCAUUACUGCUGUUUCCUCCGCCAGGCCAGGACUCAGCCAUUCCCACUACUGAAGGAAGGAGAAGACCCCAGCCUAUCCCCGGGAGUUUGCUGACACCCAUGGGGUCCAUCAGAAAGCAGUUCAGGAUGCCUGGCAAAAGGAACAUGACGAGACAUCUCAAUAUAGAAAAGAAGCAAAGCCAUCUCAGAGAAGACAUCUCUAGAAGGCCUGUUAUACUGUAAGGGAGGCAUCCUGAUGUCUGGCUGAAGUCUCUCCUUCUGCAAAAUUGUCUUGGGCUUCCCAGGUGGCUCAGUGGUAAAGAAUCCACCUACUAAUGCAGGAGACGCUAGUUUGAUCCCUGGGUUGGGAAGAUCCCCUGGAGAAGGAAAUGACAAUCUACUCCAGUACUCUUGCUUGGGAAAUCCCAUGGACAGAGGAGCCUGGUGGGUUACGAAAGUCGGACAUGACUGAGCAGCUAAACAACAACAACAUUGCAUUGUUUUCCUUUGUUUCAAGAUUUAUAGCAUAUAAGCAGCUCUUAGAGUGGUAACUAUUGUUAUUAUUUUAUUAAUCAUUAUGUAGAUCAUUAUUUCAUUAAUUACUUCCCUAUUUGAACUCUGCCUUGUUCUCCCCCUCCCCAAAUAUACGGUGGCUAGUAAGGGAUCAUAAAAUACAGCAGAAUACACACAAAGAGCAAGAAAAGAUGGCCAAAACACAAGACGCACACUGCAGGACAGUGCAUACUUUGUGAACCAUUUCUAAAAUGUAUACAAAAUACAAAUCUCAUAUAAUUCUAUAAUUAAUUUAUUAAGAUAAAAAAUAAAAAACUGAACUAAACUUAAGAUAUAGGAUACUGCUAGAUUUGGGGGGAAGGAAAUAGUCCUAGAGUAGAAGGAUGGUGGGCUUUUCUACUUUCUGUGUAAUGUUUCAGUGACUUGAAGUAAAUAGAACAAAAUAUUAACAACUGUCAAUUUUGUGUGGCAGGUACUAGAUAUUGCACUACUUUAUGGACUUUAGAUUUGGAAGAAGAUCUCAGAGUUGUAUUUACUUGCUCAAGUGAGCCAUGAGUUGAUCUCUAAGCUCUCUAAAGGGCAAUAUAAGGAAAGGAGCCAGGUCAGUUCUACAAUUGAUGGUAUCGUGAGUAUCCCGAGGUGAAAAUAUAUCCAGGCUUUGGGAGAGCCCAGAACCUGGUACUGAGAACUCUAGAAGCUAUGCUUAUUCCACAGUGGCUAGUGGGUGGUGGUUUCAGCAGGGGUUUGGGAGUCUGAGAGCUUGUGUGUGUGUGUGUUUCUGGGUGUGUGAUUAGAAGAGGGAGCGAUUGGUCACACAUCUACAGACAUGUAGCUCUUCACCUGAAUUGUCUGUUCUAAAGACUCAGGUGAGAGUCACCUCAGCCCUGAAGAUGGGAGUGCUCAGGGACAAGCUCCUCGUGGUGGCCUUGCCACCAGCCAAUGACUCAGUAUUUUCAAACGGCAUCACAGCAAAGCCCAGUUCAUAAAGCUUUGAGGAGCCCCCACUACUAUUGGGCAGGCCCCAGCUCUCUGCCUAUCAGACCUGGGGUUUUCAAGCCCUUGGAAGACUAAAGGGGCCGUCCAUCCUUAAAGCAAAGAAAUGCAAGCUACUCCUGCCCUUGGCCAAAGCUGUGACCAACACAGGGAGGAGGUGAGGUAGAGAUGGUGCUGCCCACAGGAGCCUGGGAAGGUCACCAAUGUCUUCUUCCCCUUGUGAGGGACCAGUAGUCAGCUGGGUGCAGAGGAGCUGGGAACUCGCCUCUCUAGAGGGCCACCCCUCCUCCUCUGGAGGGGAGCCCAGGUGACUCACCGUUGUGCCAGGUUUUUCCUCAGAAAGCAUUCGAAAUUGGCUCCAGCACCCAAAUGCGCAGCGAUGCAGCACCUAGGGUCAACUCCAGGAGGUGUGCCCG
ensembl:lncRNA